AACCCCCAGCAUGCAUAGCGCCCAGAGAGGCUCGCCUGCUGCAGAAGGCUUGCAUUUCGUGUUGCUGCUGCUGUUUCUGUUUAAAGGCAUUCGCGACAAUACGAUUAAAAAUGGUCUGACUGAUCAUUGACGCCUGCCGCUAUGUGCUGAACAAGAUUGGCAGUGUCUUAUAUGAAAAGGAAAAUCCAUCCUCCACUGGCCAAUCCAAGGCACCAGAUAGCCAGGGCAAAGAUGUGAAGUACAGUCAGAUAAACUCAUCACCGGGUGAUGACCUGUUGCCAGAGGCCCUGCCAAAAUCGGGGCCUGUAAUUCAACAAUGUGGGUCCUGAGGUUAAACGUUGCACCAGACCAGCCUAUUGGCAAUCUAAACUGGUGUAUUAUGGCAAAUUCCUGACAAAGCAGACUACCAUGGCAGAGAAUGAAGAUGUGCCCAGCAACUCACUGACCUGUGAGAUGAGCACCUCUGAAAAUAUUUGCUAUGUUUCAAACCUACCUGAUUCAAAAAUAAAUCAUGCUUGAUGAUU